CCUGCAUGAUGACAAGCAAAUGCUGACUAAUGUGAAGAUCUUAAUUAUUAGAAAAAAAAUGAUAACAACUGAAUGC